AGCAGUAGCCGCGGUAAUACGAGGGGGGCAAGCGUUGUUCGGAAUUAUUGGGCGUAAAGGGUGCGUAGGCGGUUUGGCAAGUUUGGUGUGAAAUCUUCGGGCUCAACUCGAAGUCUGCAUCGAAAACUGCCGGGCUUGAGUAUGGGAGAGGUGAGUGGAAUUUCCGGUGUAGCGGUGAAAUGCGUAGAUAUCGGAAGGAACACCUGUGGCGAAAGCGGCUCACUGGACCAUAACUGACGCUGAUGCACGAAAGCUAGGGGAGCAAACAGGAUUAGAUACCCGAGUAGUCCCUGUCUCUUAUAC
rnacentral:rRNA from 1 species